GAGUUUGAUCCUGGCUCAGGAUGAACGCUAGCUACAGGCUUAACACAUGCAAGUCGAACGAAGCACUCUACUUGAUUUCCUUCGGGAAUGAUUGUUCUGUGACUGAGUGGCGGACGGGUGAGUAACGCGUGGAUAACCUGCCUCACACAGGGGGAUAACAGUUGGAAACGGCUGCUAAUACCGCAUAAGCGCACAGCACCGCAUGGUGCAGUGUGAAAAACUCCGGUGGUGUGAGAUGGAUCCGCGUCUGAUUAGCUGGUU
rnacentral:rRNA from 1 species